UUUCCGUAGGUGAACCUGCGGAAGGAUCAUUAUUGAAUGAACUCGGUAGUGGUUGCAGCUGGCUCUCUCGAGAGCAUGUGCACACCCGCCAUCUUUAUCUUUCCACCUGUGCACUUCUUGUAGACUUUGGGAUUUGAAAACUUAUCCGGGGCAACUCGGUCGGGAGGAGCUGCUGUAGCAAUACGGCUCUCCUUGACAAGUCUUCGAAGUCUAUGUUUUUCAUAUACCCCAUAGUAUGUAACAGAAUGUAUACAAAUGAGCCUUAGUGCUUAUAAAACUUAUACAACUUUCAACAACGGAUCUCUUGGCUCUC
rnacentral:misc_RNA from 1 species